rnacentral:rRNA from 1 species
UACGAAGGGGGCUAGCGUUGCUCGGAAUCACUGGGCGUAAAGGGUGCGUAGGCGGGUCUUUAAGUCAGGGGUGAAAUCCUGGAGCUCAACUCCAGAACUGCCUUUGAUACUGAAGAUCUUGAGUUCGGGAGAGGUGAGUGGAACUGCGAGUGUAGAGGUGAAAUUCGUAGAUAUUCGCAAGAACACCGGUGGCGAAGGCGGGCCUCUGGGCCGAUACUGACGCUGAGGAGCGAAAGCGUGGGGAGCGAACAGG